AUUGAACGCUGGCGGCAGGCCUAACACAUGCAAGUCGAACGAGUGGCGGACGGGUGAGUAAUGUCUGGGAAACUGCCUGAUGGAGGGGGAUAACUACUGGAAACGGUAGCUAAUACCGCAUACCAUCGGAUGUGCCCAGAUGGGAUUAGCUAGUAGGUGGGGGAAAGGCUCACCUAGGCGAAGAUCCCUAGCUGGUCUGAGAGGAUGACCAGCAAUAGUGUAACUGAGGCAAGUUCCAGACUCCUACGGGAGGCAGCAGUGGGGAAUAUUGCACAAUUGGCUCAAGCCUGAUGCAGCCAUGCCGCGUGUAUGAAGAAGGCCUUCGGGUUUGAAAGUACUUUCAGCGGGGAGGCGUUACCCGCAGAAGAAGUACCGGCUAACUCCGUGCCAGCAGCCGCGGUAAUUC
rnacentral:rRNA from 1 species